ensembl:lncRNA
AGCAAAGUGACAAAUAAUGGUUUCUGUGGGCUUAAAAAAGUCAUAAAAGAAACAUUUCAACUUAUCAGUGUUCAAAGACAGACCACCUUGCCUUGUUAGACAAUGAGUUUCCCAUCAUCAGAGGCAAACAAGAUGUUUGAUUUUUAAUACUCUAAGUAUUACAAAUUUCAAGCUUUUAAAUUAUUUCAAACUAUGAAAUUCUGAUUGUAUUAUUGUGUCUUGUUAUUCUUUCCAUUUCCCAAGCAAUUUUAUACUCAACAAAGUCAAAUUCUGGAAUCUAAUUUUUCUAUUUACAAAAUGCCUUUUGGAUUAAUGAUCUCCAAGAUUCAGCAUUUCUGUGAGUAUAGUAGUGGAUGGAAUGUUAUGAAAUAGAUUCAGGGAUAGAAGAUAAAUCUAGAACACACAGAGAGGCUUAUGCCUACUUGAAAAUGGUUGAAGGAAAAUCCCAGGGUAGCUCUCUAAUUUCAGUUUGAUUUGUUGUUUGACCAUCACUCACUUUGCUCCUAUUUCUUUCUCAUUAUAAUUGUGUUUUUUCCCAUCAUUGAAGAGUUCUCUGUUCUAUUUCAGGAUACAUCAGACUAAUACACACAUACGUAGUCUAGGGAGGUGUGAGGAGAGCAGCACUUCAGAAAUGACACCUGACACUGCCCGCACAGGGCCAAUGAUACAAGGAUUGAUGACAGCCACAAGGAAAACAAAUACAACCCAAUUCUGAAUCACCUGCCUUUACCAUCUGUAUAUAAAAAUAAUGCUUCAGAGCUCUUCUCAUUUACAAUAGGAAACAAUACAGAGAUGUUGGCAUUGGACUCCCUGAUUUUCAGUCUUUUCAUCUCUUUCCUGCUAGCCUCUGUGGCCUGAGGGCAUGGAAAAAUCCCUAUCCAGUCUGUGCUCUGGAAAUCUCCCCAUCAUUAUGUUGUCCAUCCAGCUGCUUGUUAAUAAAUGUAGACUCAGCAGAAUACAUUUUUGGGGGGGGACACAGGGUUUUUUUUUGUCAAUUAUUAGAUACUAAGAAUUUUAUUCUACAGAAGUUGGAAAAAUUCUACCCUGUUCCCGUGUUAAGUCCAAUAGUAGAGAAUGCUCACUCUUCACAUUCAAGUUGCUGUUAUGUCUGGGAAGGAGUAUCUAGAUGAGAGGUGGGCUGAUACGUGCUCUCAAGCUGUCAACAGCUGUGUAAUUCUACCUAGCACCCUGCAGGCUCCUGUAUCUAGCUUCUGUAUUUCCACAUGAAUAGCAAAACUGUCUUUCACUUUUGCGCAUCCCAACCAAUGUCACAAACUAGUAAUUUUUCAAACCAAAUCAUAUUGCUUCAGGACAAUUCCCUACAUUAAAACCUUGUAACCUAGUGUAGGAAAGACUAAGGAAAUGUCUGGCAAUAUGUGCAAACCUCCAGGGCAGCACUCUCCAGCAGAAAUGCAGUACAAGCAACAUAUGCAAUUUUAAGUUUUCUAGUAGCUACACAAAUAGGUAAAAUUAAUUCUAAUAAUUUAUUUUAUGUAGCCUAGUAUAUCAAAAGGUAGUAAUGUAACCAAUAUAAAUUUUUUAAUUUACAAAGUUUUUGACAAUGGGGUGUAUUUUACACUUUCAGUGUAUCUCAAUUUGGACCAGCCACAUUUCAAGUGCUCAAUAGCUGCAGGUGGGUAGAAGUUACCAUAUUAGAAGAUGCUGCUCUACCAUGAGCUCACAGAUAUGGGAAAUCUGAGGAUGAACCCAAGAGUUAAAUAGGGGUGGGAUGAAACAAUGUGUAAGCUCCUGCCUCCACGCGGAAACUGUGUCAUUCUAAGAAUCUUGUUACUGGUUUCCUAUGGUACUAUGUAGUCACCUAGUUCACUUGAAGAUCCUGGACUGAUACUGAACACAUUCCCAGAGGGAGAAAUCAUAUGGAGAAUCCAUUGUGGUCUAAGGCAUUCUCAGCCACAAAAGAACUGUGCCUGGUGUCACUGAUGUAUUUGAAUUUGGGAAAAUAACUUUAUAUAGUUCCAUCUGCUCUCUUUUUGAAAAAAACAAGUUUCCACUAGAUCAAUCAUAAUAGGAUUUUGUGAUUUUCGUCCCCUGUAACUGAAUGAAACUCAAACUAUAGGUGGCUGCCAUGUCCCCACAUGUUUUUUCCUCAGUGCAUGGGCAGAGAGAAAUCUCUGGUGUCUUCCUCUUUCUUAUAAGGACACCAAUCUUUUAAGACUAGAGCCUCACUCUUAAAACUUCAUUUAGCCUUAUUUUCCUUUUCCCAAAUAGUCACACUGGGGAUAGCAUUUCAACCUAUCCAUUUUAAGAACACAAUUCAGUCCAUAAUGCAACACAUCAGAUUGAGGAACUUGCCAUAUACUUUUCUCAGUGUAAAACACAUGUUAAGUAUAUAUAAUGUCAACUUUUAUAAGUUUUAUCAUUCCUAUGUUUGUCAUAGAAUAGGAAGUGUGACUGGUGUGUGAGGACUCAAAGGGAGCAAGAAGAAGAUAAGUCACAAAGAUGAAAGACGGGAGACAGAUGUCUGUUCAUCACAGAAUUUGUCUAUAGCAAGGACACUACAGCCCCACAAUCCAAAUAUGGUCCAUCAUCUACUUUUAUAAAUACAGAUUUUGUAUCUCUUACCCAAGAUGCUAGGGACAAGAAAUGGGGAAUAUUUGCAUAUAUCUCUAUCCCUAUCUCUAUCAUCUAUCUUUCUGAUAUAUAUAUAUAUAUAUAUAUAUAUAUAUAUCUAUAUAUAUAUAUAUCCAUCUGCAUGUAUAUAUCCCUCCCAUCCCCAAAUUCUCAUGUGCUCAGAGAAGGGUUUUUGAAGGGUGGUUGGAUCAUGGGAGCCCUGUAUUCCAGAGUGAAUUCAUCUAGGGUGAAUUCAGUGGCUCCUUCGCUCCCUGGUUCCUGGCUGCCAAGACACGAACAGCUUCUCCUCUGCCUGGCCCUUCAGCCAUACUAUUUCUGCAUUGGUGUCAGCUGACCAUGGAUUGAAACUUCUAAAACUGUGAGCCAAAAUAAACUUCUCCUCCUUUAAAUUGUGACUGGUGGCCAUUGUGUCUUGGUGAUGAACAAAGUGACUGAGAUGCUGAGCAUAUGCAAGUGGGUAUAAAUCAAAAAUACAAAUUCAAUUAAAUCACUUUUGAUGUCA